UACGUAUGGUGCAAGCGUUAUCCGGAUUUACUGGGUGUAAAGGGAGCGCAGGCGGCACGGCAAGCCUGAUGUGAAAGCCCGCGGCCCAACCGCGGGACUGCAUUGGGAACUACCGGGCUGGAGUGCCGGAGAGGUAGGCGGAAUUCCUAGUGUAGCGGUGAAAUGCGUAGAUAUUAGGAGGAACACCAGUGGCGAAGGCGGCCUACUGGACGGUGACAGACGCUGAGGCUCGAAAGCGUGGGGAGCAAACAGG
rnacentral:rRNA from 1 species